GCGGCAUAAUGUAUUGUGCAUACUGCCGGUCCGGGGUAAAGGCAGAGAUCUGUACGAUCUCAUCGAUCAGCCUACGGCCCGUGGUAUCUAUAUCGAUACCAAUCAAGGUGUACUUGCCAUGCGGUAACGGAUUGGUAUUAAUCGAAAGAUCGGUUUUGUCGAAUUUCAUGGAUAUAUCAUCGACUGGAGUGUCACACUCUUCGAAGCUGCUCUCAUCGUAGUUCGGCUCCUGAUAGUCCCCGUCAUUCGCUUUAUCGAAAACUACCACCAUUUUGCUCA